CCUACGGGAGGCAGCAGUAGGGAAUCUUGCGCAAUGGGCGAAAGCCUGACGCAGCAACGCCGCGUGAACGAGACGCCCUUCGGGGUGUAAAGCUCUGUCAGUGGGGACGAAAAAUGACGGUACCCACUGAGGAAGCAGCGGCGAAAUCCGUGCCAGCAGCCGCGGUAAUACGGAGGGUGCAAGCGUUGUCCGGAAUCAUUGGGCGGAAAGAGUUCGUAGGCGGCAUGUCAGGUCAGGUGUUAAAGGCGCAGGCUCAACCUGUGUAUGGCACUUGAUACUUGCAAGCUGGAAUGCGGUAGAGGUAAAGGGAAUUCCUGGUGUAGCGGUGAAAUGCGUAGAUAUCAGGAGGAACAUCAGUGGCGUAGGCGCUUUACUGGGCCGUAAUUGACGCUGAGGAACGAAAGCCAGGGUAGCAAAUAGGAUUAGAUACCCGUGUAGUC
rnacentral:rRNA from 1 species